AUGCUCACUUUGGCAGCAUGUAUACUAACAUCAGGUGGAUAGAGAGACUAUUAGCAUGGCCCCUGUGCAUGGAUGACAGGUAAAUUUGUGAAGUGUUCCAUAUUUUU